AUAUGCAUUUAAGUAUCAUAGAAAAUCAGAGGCCGGAAGGUAAAUUGUAUAUCCAGUAAAUGCAAUUGCAUUUCACCCCAUCUAGCUUAUGUAUGAAAUAUGUCUGUGUCUGGCUCUUUCUUUCAGCUACACAAAGUUCUUGUUUCUGGAGAGAACAGCCAAGUGUAGACUUCAAAAAGAUUAGUGCUCAUGUUCACCAGUUCAAGGGUAGCAGCUCCACAUAAAUUUCCUCUUUUUUUUCUCUUAAAUAGAAUUUGAAUUUCAUGUUAUUUGUGGAUCAACUUUCUAGUACCAAAUACAUCACGAAAGGGUUAUAACAGUAGUUUGAAUUCACAGACUGAUGUCAA